AUGAACGCUGGCGGCGUGCCUCAUACCUGCCAGUCGAGCGCACAGACGAGGAGCUUGCUCCUCUGACGUUAGCGGCGGACGGGUGAGUAACACGUGGAUAACCUACCUAUAAGACUGGGAUAACUUCGGGAAACCGGAGCUAAUACCGGAUAAUAAAUUGAACCGCAUGGUUCAAUAGUGAAAGACGGUUUUGCUGUCACUUAUAGAUGGAUCCGCGCCGCAUUAGCUAGUUGGUAAGGUAACGGCUUACCAAGGCAACGAUGCGUAGCCGACCUGAGAGGGUGAUCGGCCACACUGGAACUGAGACACGGUCCAGACUCCUACGGGAGGCAGCAGUAGGGAAUCUUCCGCAAUGGGCGAAAGCCUGACGGAGCAACGCCGCGUGAGUGAUGAAGGUCUUCGGAUCGUAAAACUCUGUUAUUAGGGAAGAACAAAUGUGUAAGUAACUAUGCACGUCUUGACGGUACCUAAUCAGAAAGCCACGGCUAACUACGUG
rnacentral:rRNA from 1 species